GUAUUUAUAUUUAUCUUAAUUCAAAUUUUACUUUAUUUAAACUAAAUUAAAUUUUUAAUUAAGCUUAGAUAAAAGCUAAAUUUUGAAGUAUAAAUGUUAUUUAAGUAGAUUUACAGUCAAUCUCCAACUUAAGAGAUUUUGACUUACAUGAAUCCCAGACUUAUGUUACUGAUCGACUCGAACCCAUUUUCUGACUUAUGUUAUCCAAAUUUCAGAGUUCCAUUAGUCAUCAGCAAUCAUUUUUGACAAACUAUGUUGGCUGGAUGGAGCAUGGAAUGCAUUCAUUUAUUACUUUUGGGGAUCCAGGUUCAAUUUUGGAUCCCACUCUUCCAGUUUUUAGCAAACCCACAUCCAGGACAUUGAACUUUAUUUUUAAUCUUCUGAUUGAUCCCAUUACUAAUAGUGGCCAGUCUGUAAUAGGAGCAUAUAAUUAGUAAAUGAUGCCAUUUCUAUUUUAUAUUAUUUUUUAUUAUAUAUAUAUUUUUUUCCAUACAAUACUGUACUCGCUUAAUUCCUAACUGCAAAAACCAAUGUCCUAAGAAUAUCAAUGAACAGCACUAUCUGCAGUAUGGUUCACAAACUCUAUGCUCUUUAUUG
rnacentral:lncRNA from 1 species